GACGUAGGGCGCGAGCGUUGUCCGGAUUUAUUGGGCGUAAAGAGCUCGUAGGCGGCUUGUCGCGUCGACCGUGAAAACUCGCAGCUCAACUGCGAGCCUGCGGUCGAUACGGGCAGGCUAGAGUUCGGUAGGGGAGACUGGAAUUCCUGGUGUAGCGGUGAAAUGCGCAGAUAUCAGGAGGAACACCGAUGGCGAAGGCAGGUCUCUGGGCCAUAACUGACGCUGAGAAGCGAAAGCAUGGGGAGCGAACAGG
rnacentral:rRNA from 1 species